UACGGGGGGAGCAAGCGUUGUUCGGAUUUACUGGGCGUAAAGGGCGCGUAGGCGGCACUGCAAGUCAGUUGUGAAAUCUCCGGGCUUAACCCAGAAAGGUCAACUGAUACUGCAGGGCUAGAGUGCAGAAGGGGCAACUGGAAUUCUCGGUGUAGCGGUGAAAUGCGUAGAUAUCGAGAGGAACACCUGCGGCGAAGGCGGGUUGCUGGGCUGACACUGACGCUGAGGCGCGAAAGCCAGGGGAGCGAACGGG
rnacentral:rRNA from 1 species